rnacentral:rRNA from 1 species
GUCACCCACCCGACCCGUCUUGAAACACGGACCAAGGAGUCUAACAUGUGCGCGAGUCACGGGGUCUUGGUUAGGCCCGGAGGCGCAAUGAAAGUGAAGGCCGGCCCCCGAGGCCGGCCGCGUUGGGAUUUCCCGCCCCCCGGGGCGGGGAGGCACCAACGGCCCGUCCUGUCCGAUUCAUCGGUUGGGCGGAGUCCGAGCGCACGCGUUGGGACCCGAAAGAUGGUGAACUAUGCCUGGGCAGGACGAAGCCAGAGGAAACUCUGGUGGAGGUCCGUAGCGGUUCUGACGUGCAAAUCGAUCGUCAGACCCGGGUAUAGG